rnacentral:rRNA from 1 species
AGAGGAAGGUCCCCCACACUGGUACUGAGACACGGACCAGACUCCUACGGAAGGCAGCAG